rnacentral:rRNA from 1 species
AUGCGUAGGUGGCAAGCGUUAUCCGGAAUUAUUGGGCGUAAAGAGUGAGCAGGCGGUUAAUUAAGUCUGAGGUUAAAGCGGGGGGCUCAACCCCCUAAAGCCUUGGAAACUGAUUGACUAGAGUACGGGAGAAGUGAAGGGAAAUCCAUGUGGAGCGGUGAAAUGCGUAGAUAUAUGGAAGAACACCAGUGGCGAAGGCGCUUCACUAGCCCGAAACUGACGCUCAGUCACGAAAGCGUGGGUAGCAAAUAGGAUUAGAUACCCUAGUAGUCCACGCUGUAAACGAUGACAACUAAAUAUUGCCGCGAGGCAGUGUUGAAGCUAACGCAUUAAGUUGUCCGCCUAGGGAGUACGGUCGCAAGACUGAAACUUAAAGGAAUUGACGGGG